CAGGUCUAGAAAUGUUUUGCAAUAAAAAUUUGAUUUCAAAAAAAUGAAAGGGAACAAAAACUUUUGCUUAUAAUUUUACUUGGAGAAUGGCUGGAUUCAUUUGACCGUGUACAGUUUUGUUUAUAAUUAGUGAAGAGAUGAAAAUAAUGAAACUGUAUGGUGCAGAAAGUGUUUUUUUCAUUGCAGUUUCUGCUGCUGGGAAAGCGGUAGAUCACUAUGGCUGCUGUACCGUGAAAUGAAGCUUAUGAUAAAUAAAAUACUGCUGCUUGCUGGUCACUGAUUGAAGAUCGUUCAGUGGCUACCAUUGGCCAAUCUCACCAACGGGAUAUAAUAAGAACUGAUGCAGAUACAGGCAACCCACUUAACUUUGGAAGUAGUGCGCUGGAUUCGUCUAAAGAUAUGCUAAACAACCGGAGGAAAAUAAAAUGAUAUGUAAAACAAUUAAUUGUAUUGUAUUUUUAUUGUAAUAUUGGAGUAUAAUGUAUUCUAAAUCCUGCUGUAUUUCUAUUGUAAAACAAUA